rnacentral:rRNA from 1 species
AGUCUGGUGCCAGCAGCCGCGGUAAUUCCAGCUCCAAUAGCGUAUAUUAAAGUUGUUGCAGUUAAAAAGCUCGUAGUUGAACUUCUGGCUGUUGCGUUCGCCGGCUUCGGUCGCGUCCGUAGCGGUCAUCCGCUUGGGAACUCCAUUCGAACUUCACUGUUCGGUGGAAGGAACAGGCAUUUUACUUUGAAAAAAUUAGAGUGUUCAAGGCAGGCUAUCGCCCUGAAUACACAAGCAUGGAAUAAUGAAAUAGGACUUUUUCCAUUUUAUUGGUUAUUGGAAUUAGUAAUGAUUAAUAGGGACAGUUGGGGGCAUUAGUAUUUAAUAGUCAGAGGUGAAAUUCUUGGAUUUAUUAAAGACUAACUUAUGCGAAAGCAUUUGCCAAGGAUGUUUUCAUUAAUCAAGAACGAAAGUUAGGGGAUCAAAGACGAUCAGAUACCGUCCUAGUCUUAACUAUAAACUAUACCGACUAGGGAUUGGCCGGGAGUUUUCAACCCGGUCAGCACCUUAUGAGAAAUCAAAGUCUAUGGGUUCUGGGGGGAGUAUGGUCGCAAGGCUGAAACUUAAAGGAAUUGACGGAAGGGCACCACCAGGAGUGGAGCCUGCGGCUUAAUUUGACACAACACGGGGAAACUUACCAGGUCAAGACAUAAGUGGGAUUGACAGAUUGAGAGCUCUUUCUUGAUUCUAUGGGUGGUGGUGCAUGGCCGUUCUUAGUUGGUGGAGUGAUUUAUCUGGUUAAUUCCGUUAACGAACGAGACCUUAACCUGCUAAAUAGUCAUGCCGUGAAUAGCAGUAUUGACUUCUUAAAGGGACUAUGCGUUCAAGCGCAUGGAAGUUUGAGGCAAUAACAGGUCAGUGAUGCCCUUAGAUGUCCUGGGCCGCACGCGCGCUACACUGACACGUGCAACGAGUACAUCCUGGUCCGGAAGGACUUCGGGUAAUCUUCAUAGUACGUGUCGUGCUGGGGAUAGAUCUUUGCAAUUUUAGAUCUUGAACGAGGAAUUCCUAGUAAGCAUAAGUCAUCAGCUUGUGCUGAUUACGUCCCUGCCCUUUGUACACACCGCCCGUCGCUCCUACCGAUUGAGUGGUUCGGUGAACUUUUCGGACUGCGCUUGCUUUAGCUUGUGCGGGAAGUUAAUUAAACCAU